UAGUGACAAAGUAAAUAUCCUCUCCAAGCUGGCAUGAAGAGGGUCUGAAAGCUAUCUUCAGUCUCUUUGUUCCAGACAAAAAUCAAGGCGAAUAUUGUGAUAUGCCCAGAUUCUUUGCUUUCAAACAUUUUGCUUAAUAAAAUUGUGAGAAAUAUGCCCACCUGUCCAAACCCAAAGAAUGGACUUAGAGGCAUGAAGAACAGUGAAGGUGAGACUUUUAAUAACGUUCUGGCAAGAUCAGUUGUCUGGAAGACAUGCACACCUGGGCAAUUACAACAGCAGCAAGGAGAGCUCAAGCAAAGUGGACAUGAUCAGAGUCCACAGUUACCAUGAUCCUGAGACAAGCUCAUAAAAGCAAGCUGCAUGAGCAGGAACCCAAGAAGUGACAGGCACCAGCCACCACUAUUGCUGCCAUCACCACAGGGAAUUCCAACAAAGCAGAACUAAUGGUUUCUUGCUUCAUCCCACCUUCUAAUCUAACAAAAAGCCCACUGUCAAAGGAGUUGGAGAAACACAGUUUGUAGGCUCCCAUCUCCAGUGGUAGAGAAGACAUAGAAAAAUGAUUGUAGAGCCAAGAGAUAAUAGACACAAUGUAGCAGCCACAUGUCCUGGCUUAAGAAUCCACUUCCCUUGCCUCCCUUCUCACCUCCCUCCAGGUAUCCAUCAACAAAGAGCAAGACGGAGGACACACACACACUGGUUUUUAUUUUCAUCAUUAUCUACCUGCAUAGUCAUGUCUACUUGUGAGAAAUAGAAAUCCUUCUAAGUAUGUACUGGAAAUAAGUAAGGAAAAGUUUAAAUAAAUAGGAGAGAUGCUGUUAAAGAGUAAACCUUUAAAAACAAGUAGAGAAGGCUAGUAAAAAUUAUUAGAAAAAUAAUGGUCUCCUCCAUUCCCAAUCUGUUUACCAACACAAGUAAAACACCAGUUUGCUUAUUUUAUAAAUUUAUGUUCUCUUUUUCAUUUUUCUAGGUCAUCAUAUCUGCUUAGCUUCCACCAUUAAAAAUUUUCAUAGAAAAUAAGUUGCAUUUUUCCAACCCAACUAUCUCUGAUAAUAAAAUGUGACAAAGUUAAACCUAAUAAGCAGCUAUAUAGGUUGUUCAAGUAUGCUUGAUUGUACAUAUUGAGACAGAAAAAUAAGAUGCAUUUGUUUCAAAAGAAGAUUAAAUGGCUAAUGAUUAGAGCAUAAUAACAACUGAAAAACUCAGUAG
rnacentral:lncRNA from 1 species